rnacentral:rRNA from 1 species
GGCUUGUAGCUAGGGUUGUAAAGCUCUUUUGGCGGGAUGCACGAUAAUGACGGUACCCGCAGAAUAAGCCCCGGCUAACUUCGUGCCAGCAGCCGCGGUAAUACGAAAUGACGGGGCUAGCGUUGUUCGGAAUCACUGGGCGUAAAGCGUACGCAGGCGGAUUGAUAAGUCAGGGGUGAAAUCCCGGGGCUCAACCUCGGAAUUGCC